rnacentral:pre_miRNA from 1 species
AUAUGCCUGGCUCCCUGUAUGCCACUUGCAGAUCUCAUCGACAACUCGGUGCCUCCGUGAAUGGCGUAUGAGGAGCCAAGCAUAA